GAAAGGAUUCUGCUCCAGGUAGCCAGACCUGAGUUUCUUUAUGUAGAUGUAUCUGGGGUGUCAGUCUGCCCUGUGACUUCAGUCAUCUGGUCAUCCUCAUUCAAUGCAGGAGGGUGAGACAAGAGGCAUGAACACAAAGGGGUGUUAUAGAGCUACUUGGAAACGACAAAGAUGUACAUCAGUGGGAGAAAAAUAUAAAAAAAAUAUGCAAGCAUUUCUGGAGGAUUCAGCAAUUUUAUUUCCCUGAAGAAAAUUGGACACAGCCAAUAGACAUAGUGCCUAGAGCUAAAAUUUGAACAUUUCUUCCUAGUCUCUUUCCAACUCAUGCCAUCAGACCUCACCAUGGACCUUUAAGAGAUACAUUAAGAGGUUUUACUCAAUAAAGACUAUUCUU